rnacentral:rRNA from 1 species
GAACGCGAAGAACCUUACCAUCCCUUGACAUGGCAUGUUACCUCGAGAGAUCGGGGAUCCUCUUCGGAGGCGUGCACACAGGUGCUGCAUGGCUGUCGUCAGCUCGUGUCGUGAGAUGUUGGGUUAAGUCCCGCAACGAGCGCAACCCACGUCCUUAGUUGCCAUCAUUCAGUUGGGCACUCUAGGGAGACUGCCGGUGAUAAGCCGCGAGGAAGGUGUGGAUGACGUCAAGUCCUCAUGGCCCUUACGGGAUGGGCUACACACGUGCUACAAUGGCGGUGACAGUGGGACGCGAAGCCGCGAGGUGGAGCAAAUCCCCAAAAACCGUCUCAGUUCGGAUUGCACUCUGCAACUCGGGUGCAUGAAGGCGGAAUCGCUAGUAAUCGUGGAUCAGCACGCCACGGUGAAUACGUUCCCGGGUCUUGUACACACC